UACCAGCAGCAGGAAUAUGUUGCAAAUUAAAACAUUCGCCAUGUUUGAAGACCUCUGGCGGCUUUUAAAGUGUUCCGCACUAGGAAGCUGGACUCCACCGAGAGUUUAAUGUCCAGUGAGUGAGUGACAGACGGGUCAAAAAAAAGCUCAAACUGAAGAUACUCGUCUCUUCUUAGACUGGUGCUGUCACUUGUCAAGACAGGCGGACUUUACACUGAGUAUAAGCCGCUACCGACGUAUCUGCUCUGAGAAGCCUCUCCCAAGAGAUUGACCCCUGCCUGCCCCUCCUCUCUUCCUCCAUGGCUCCACUGAAGCAUUCUGCUCAGAAAUGGGCUCUUCACUUAACACCACAGGAAUGUGUGCUGAAUGAAGCCUGGUUGUGGGGGAGGCUCUGCUCCCACAGCGAGGCAAUCGCUAUCACCAUAAACUACUGAUAAAAAGUGAGAGCUGUCAGAGCGGCUAACAAUUGGCCUGUGUCCUUUUAAACUUGACAUCCAGUUUGGAUGUACUGUAAUAGUGUGGACAUUGUUUGUGAGUGUCACAGGAAGUCAGGCAGCAACAGGAAAGGUGAGAAAAAUGUCAGGAAGACUGGGUUGCUGUGAGUCAAGGGUGUGGACAUAAUGAAAGGUUUUGGGGCUUGGAGUCUUAACAGUGAGUUAACUACUGUCACUCCCAAUGUGAAAUGAAAGUGAAUUAUGUGUCGCAAUUCAUGUUUGGAGAUAAAGCCUGUGGAUUUCUACUUAUUCUCACGGUAAUGCAAUCUCUAACAUCCCCUUCACCCCCACACUGUCCAUGUAAUGUGGGAUUAGGAGUUACAACAGAGGUGUUUUAGUUGCUGAAAAUAACCAAAGCAUUACUUCAGGCCCUUUUCUGCUGAGUGGGACAUUUUGGAGACAGACAAAAGUGAUUCAUUUCUCAGAAAGACUCUUGCAUCAUAGUUUUUCAUAGUCUAUAAAAGAGUUCAUCAGAAAAUAUCUUUACGUCACGUCAAAAGAUUUCUCAAUAUCCAUCUUGAACUUGACUGACAGUAUUGUAGCCUAGUCAUUUGGCAAAUCUGUUUUUUUUAUGAUCUUCCCUAGUAUCAACAGGUGUAUCAAUGACAUGUAAGCUGUAAAAUAUAUGCAAAUUGGCUGCAUGACGACAGCAUCUCAUUUGUGUUUCCAGAAAGCUCAUGACAGAUGUUUUACAACAACACAAGGCGCGACAGAUGACACUUCCAGUUGUGUUGUAAUUCAAGUGACAGCGACAUGUAUGGCCUGGGGUUAAAAAAAGUUUUCUGAUUGACCCCAAUUCACCUACUCCACCCCUCUCUUCAUUCCUGUUGGAUGAGUGCCAGCAAAGAGGCAGGGUGGGGCAUUCACGUCAUGCGUGAAGGAUUGUAUUUGGGUGAGACAAGUUGCUCACUAGUGUCUGUUUAGAAAAUCAUGUGACUAAUAGCUAUGUGAUUAUUAGUGUGUAGUUGUUUUAUACUCAGAUCAUACUGAGAUGCAAACACAAUGAGGUGUACAAGCAACCAGGUUAGUUGGUUUUGCUUGGCACAGCUAUCUGGAACAGUCAACCACAAAAAUCCUGCAAUAAAUAUGUCCUGUUCAAGUAUUGCUUAAA